GGUCCCAUCGUCUAGUGGCCUAGGACACCACCCUCUCAAGGUGGAGACACGGGUUCGAACCCCGUUGGGACCACCU
rnacentral:tRNA from 1 species